rnacentral:rRNA from 1 species
GGCGAACGUUAGCGGCGGGCUUAACACAUGCAAGUCGAGCGAGAACGGGGCAACCCUAGUACAGCGGCGGACGGGUGAGUAACACGUAGGUAACUUUCCCUUGAGCGGGGGACAACGGUCCGAAAGGACCGCUAAUACCGCAUACGUUCUUCUGGUCUUAGGGCUGGGAGAGGAAAGCUAGGCUAGCAAUAGUCCGGCACUCAAGGAGAGGCCUGCGUAGCAUCAGCUAGUUGGUGGGGUAAUGGCCUACCAAGGCAAAGACGCUUAGCUGGUCUGAGAGGAUGAUCAGCCACACUGGGACUGAGACACGGCCCAGACUCCUACGGGAGGCAGCAGUGGGGAAUAUUGGACAAUGGCGCAAGCCUGAUCCAGCCACGCCGCGUGAGUGAUGAAGGCCUCGGUC